AGAGUUUGAUCAUGGCUCAGGAUGAACGCUAGCUACAGGCUUAACACAUGCAAGUCGAGGGGAAACGACAUCGAAAGCUUGCUUUUGAUGGGCGUCGACCGGCGCACGGGUGAGUAACGCGUAUCCAACCUGCCCACCACUUGGGGAUAACCUUGCGAAAGUAAGACUAAUACCCAAUGACGUCUCUAGAAGACAUCUGAAGGAGAUUAAAGAUUUAUCGGUGAUGGAUGGGGAUGCGUCUGAUUAGCUUGUUGGCGGGGUAACGGCCCACAAGGCGACGAUCAGUAGGGGUUCUGAGAGGAACGGUCCCCCANAUUGGAACUGAGACACGGUCCAAACGUCCUACGGGAGGCA
rnacentral:rRNA from 1 species